AGGGCCGGGAUGGAGAAGAGGAGGGUUUUUGUUUCUCAUCACCUCCCACGGAUCUUCUCAGCUCCAGUUUUCGUGAGAACCACAGGAAUGGACGUGCUGAUUCAGCUGAUGAGGGAACUGAGGCUACCUGGGUUACUCGCUGUGUCCUAGGGAGUGCUGGAGCUGGGAUUGCGAAUCUUUUCUCCAGGGCCCUGCUUCCUGGCCCCAUGAUGAUUCCUCCUCGGCUAUCCCCAGUGCGAUGACUGCUCUGUCCUUUUAACUUUUGGAAAUUAGAAAUUUCAAGGUCAUUACAUUGUGCUGGAAGAAAACAUGGGUUCUCAUAAAG